CAAAACAAAAACUAAAAAAGCAAUGUAAAACUAAGUGUUAUAAAACUAAGAAAACAAUGUAAAAACAAACAUUCAAUGCUUAAGUUAUUUUCAUGUCCAAAAUUUCUAGAGUUGGCUGCAUGAUCAAGCAGUUAUUUGCCAUCUUGAUGGAUCUGGAUGUAAUUUUGGAUCUUGCAUAUCAUUUUAGAAAGAAUCCAGGCCCAGCCAAGUUCAUUGAACCCCAUCCUUCAAACUUCCAAUUGAUCCACCAUAGAUGUUGGACAGUUUGUGAAGGUUCUAAAAGUGGCUGUUACCAAAAGUAUUUGUUAGACUUAGUUCAAACUAACAACCAAGUUUCUAACAAAUAUAAGCAAUUAUUUUUUAACAUUUUCCAAUCAUUGGAUGAUUGCUACAU
rnacentral:lncRNA from 1 species